rnacentral:rRNA from 1 species
GGGUUGUGAGGUUAAGUGACUAAGCGUACACGGUGGAUGCCCUGGCAGUCAGAGGCGAUGAAGGACGUGCUAAUCUGCGAUAAGCGUCGGUAAGGUGAUAUGAACCGUUAUAACCGGCGAUUUCCGAAUGGGGAAACCCAGUGUGAUUCGUCACACUAUCAUUAACUGAAUCCAUAGGUUAAUGAGGCGAACCGGGGGAACUGAAACAUCUAAGUACCCCGAGGAAAAGAAAUCAACCGAGAUUCCCCCAGUAGCGGCGAGCGAACGGGGAGGAGCCCAGAGCCUGAAUCAGUGUGUGUGUUAGUGGAAGCGUCUGGAAAGGCGCGCGAUACAGGGUGACAGCCCCGUACACAAAAAUGCACAUGCUGUGAGCUCGAUGAGUAGGGCGGGACACGUGGUAUCCUGUCUGAAUAUGGGGGGACCAUCCUCCAAGGCUAAAUACUCCUGACUGACCGAUAGUGAACCAGUACCGUGAGGGAAAGGCGAAAAGAACCCCGGCGAGGGGAGUGAAAAAGAACCUGAAACCGUGUACGUACAAGCAGUGGGAGCACAGAGCAAUCUGUGUGACUGCGUACCUUUUGUAUAAUGGGUCAGCGACUUAUAUUCUGUAGCAAGGUUAACCGAAUAGGGGAGCCGAAGGGAAACCGAGUCUUAACUGGGCGUUAAGUUGCAGGGUAUAGACCCGAAACCCGGUGAUCUAGCCAUGGGCAGGUUGAAGGUUGGGUAACACUAACUGGAGGACCGAACCGACUAAUGUUGAAAAAUUAGCGGAUGACUUGUGGCUGGGGGUGAAAGGCCAAUCAAACCGGGAGAUAGCUGGUUCUCCCCGAAAGCUAUUUAGGUAGCGCCUCGUGAAUUCAUCUCCGGGGGUAGAGCACUGUUUCGGCAAGGGGGUCAUCCCGACUUACCAACCCGAUGCAAACUGCGAAUACCGGAGAAUGUUAUCACGGGAGACACACGGCGGGUGCUAACGUCCGUCGUGAAGAGGGAAACAACCCAGACCGCCAGCUAAGGUCCCAAAGUCAUGGUUAAGUGGGAAACGAUGUGGGAAGGCCCAGACAGCCAGGAUGUUGGCUUAGAAGCAGCCAUCAUUUAAAGAAAGCGUAAUAGCUCACUGGUCGAGUCGGCCUGCGCGGAAGAUGUAACGGGGCUAAACCAUGCACCGAAGCUGCGGCAGCGACACUAUGUGUUGUUGGGUAGGGGAGCGUUCUGUAAGCCUGUGAAGGUGUGCUGUGAGGCAUGCUGGAGGUAUCAGAAGUGCGAAUGCUGACAUAAGUAACGAUAAAGCGGGUGAAAAGCCCGCUCGCCGGAAGACCAAGGGUUCCUGUCCAACGUUAAUCGGGGCAGGGUGAGUCGACCCCUAAGGCGAGGCCGAAAGGCGUAGUCGAUGGGAAACAGGUUAAUAUUCCUGUACUUGGUGUUACUGCGAAGGGGGGACGGAGAAGGCUAUGUUGGCCGGGCGACGGUUGUCCCGGUUUAAGCGUGUAGGCUGGUUUUCCAGGCAAAUCCGGAAAAUCAAGGCUGAGGCGUGAUGACGAGGCACUACGGUGCUGAAGCAACAAAUGCCCUGCUUCCAGGAAAAGCCUCUAAGCAUCAGGUAACAUCAAAUCGUACCCCAAACCGACACAGGUGGUCAGGUAGAGAAUACCAAGGCGCUUGAGAGAACUCGGGUGAAGGAACUAGGCAAAAUGGUGCCGUAACUUCGGGAGAAGGCACGCUGAUAUGUAGGUGAAGCGACUUGCUCGUGGAGCUGAAAUCAGUCGAAGAUACCAGCUGGCUGCAACUGUUUAUUAAAAACACAGCACUGUGCAAACACGAAAGUGGACGUAUACGGUGUGACGCCUGCCCGGUGCCGGAAGGUUAAUUGAUGGGGUUAGCGCAAGCGAAGCUCUUGAUCGAAGCCCCGGUAAACGGCGGCCGUAACUAUAACGGUCCUAAGGUAGCGAAAUUCCUUGUCGGGUAAGUUCCGACCUGCACGAAUGGCGUAAUGAUGGCCAGGCUGUCUCCACCCGAGACUCAGUGAAAUUGAACUCGCUGUGAAGAUGCAGUGUACCCGCGGCAAGACGGAAAGACCCCGUGAACCUUUACUAUAGCUUGACACUGAACAUUGAGCCUUGAUGUGUAGGAUAGGUGGGAGGCUUUGAAGUGUGGACGCCAGUCUGCAUGGAGCCGACCUUGAAAUACCACCCUUUAAUGUUUGAUGUUCUAACGUUGACCCGUAAUCCGGGUUGCGGACAGUGUCUGGUGGGUAGUUUGACUGGGGCGGUCUCCUCCUAAAGAGUAACGGAGGAGCACGAAGGUUGGCUAAUCCUGGUCGGACAUCAGGAGGUUAGUGCAAUGGCAUAAGCCAGCUUGACUGCGAGCGUGACGGCGCGAGCAGGUGCGAAAGCAGGUCAUAGUGAUCCGGUGGUUCUGAAUGGAAGGGCCAUCGCUCAACGGAUAAAAGGUACUCCGGGGAUAACAGGCUGAUACCGCCCAAGAGUUCAUAUCGACGGCGGUGUUUGGCACCUCGAUGUCGGCUCAUCACAUCCUGGGGCUGAAGUAGGUCCCAAGGGUAUGGCUGUUCGCCAUUUAAAGUGGUACGCGAGCUGGGUUUAGAACGUCGUGAGACAGUUCGGUCCCUAUCUGCCGUGGGCGCUGGAGAACUGAGGGGGGCUGCUCCUAGUACGAGAGGACCGGAGUGGACGCAUCACUGGUGUUCGGGUUGUCAUGCCAAUGGCACUGCCCGGUAGCUAAAUGCGGAAGAGAUAAGUGCUGAAAGCAUCUAAGCACGAAACUUGCCCCGAGAUGAGUUCUCCCUGACUCCUUGAGAGUCCUGAAGGAACGUUGAAGACGACGACGUUGAUAGGCCGGGUGUGUAAGCGCAGCGAUGCGUUGAGCUAACCGGUACUAAUGAACCGUGAGGCUUAACCUUACAACGCCGAAGGUGUUU